GAUCGGCACCGGAAGGCCCUCCCCCCGCCAGGGGCAGGAACAGCGGGCCCUGGAAAGGCCCAGGACUGCAGCUUUUCUUUGACCUUGGUGACCUUGACAGUUUUGAGGAGUACGGGCCGGAUAUUUGCACAACGUCUCAUGAUGAGCCUCAGGUGACGCGGCUGGAGAGAAGACCACACAGAUGGGACUGCCCGUGCCAUCACAUCACAUCAAGGCUGCAGGUGACCAACAUGGCCUCUCACUGUUAGUGCUGACCUUGACCAUGACCUGGAUGAGGAGCACAUACAUUCCCUAGAUUCCGGCGAUCCCGUCAGCUGGUACAAACGUGAAGAAAGAGAGAAGAAAUUUAGAGCCGGCUUAGUUAUCCCUAUUCAAAAUAAA